AGUCGUAACAAGGUAGCCGUAUCGGAAGGUGCGGCUGGAUCACCUCCUUUCUGGAAAACUGCAUUCAAUAUUGAACGCCCACACUUAUCGGUUGUUGGAAGAGUCGGUCUGACCGACAUGGGUCUGUAGCUCAGCUGGUUAGAGCACCGUCUUGAUAAGGCGGGGGUCGUUGGUUCGAGCCCAACUAGACCCACCAAAUCUUCCAAACAUCAGAUGCGAGGAUCAUUGGGGGAUUAGCUCAGCUGGGAGAGCACCUGCUUUGCAAGCAGGGGGUCGUCGGUUCGAUCCCGUCAUCCUCCACCAACCAAUCGAUAUCAAUGCAACACCAAAGAGGCUUUGAAAAAGGCUUCUUUGUUGUUGAUCGAGAUUACUCAGAUCAAUCGGCUGUUCUUUAAAAAUUCAUAGAGUCGAAUCAGCGUUGCUGAUGGAAACUGCACAUUCGUAAAGGUUUAGUGCAGACCGUGCCAUCAGCAACAUGAAAUUUGAUUGCGUCAAAACGAAUUGAAACUUUGUUUUAGUUCAAGUAAUGACGAAUCGUUCUCUAGGUAGCAAUACCAAAGAAACAUUCACAUUACGGCAUAACGCGCGAGGUGAAAAACCUCGCAAGUACUUGAAAGAAAAUGGAGAUGUUUCGAAAGAGACGUCAAAGUUAUAGGGUCAAGUGACUAAGAGCAUGUGGUGGAUGCCUUGGCAC
rnacentral:misc_RNA from 1 species